GAUACUGUGCCAGAGGGAGUCAGUAUCCAACCUGACUAUCCAAGGAUUCUUGUGUACCAUGCGCAAACCGUUCUACUGUCACCACACAGAAGCAAUCAUCGAGCACAAGUUAUCAGCAAAAGAAAAGCAGUAAUCACAAAAGAACACUGAAGGACCUCCAAACGGUGUACUUUGAAAAACAGAUUGAUCUAGCCGAGGCACAGAUGGAAUGCUUCAACAAGAUUUCAAAGCUAGCCGAUGUUUUAAUCGAGAAAUUCAAAUAACUUUUGAAAUUAUUAUC